GAAGAAAAAUUUUCCUCCUCCGAACCAGACGCUUUUUCUUCCAAAAUUUUGGAUUUCUUCCGAAUCUAUUUGGAAGUGCAGCAUAACGGACCAUAAAAUCAAGGUACGAACAAUGUCAGAUGAUGAAACAUUCAAGGCAACUCCAGCAUUUUCGAAGAGAAAUAGAAUGCUUCUAGCCGAACUACCAUCCCUUGCCGAUCCUUCCGAGCACCAUGCGGGUGCCGGAGGUUGUUCCGGAAACUCUGAACGGCAUUCCGUUAUGGAGCACAUCAUACAUUCCCGGCUCAAAUUUCUUCAGACAGGAACGGUGUGGUCAGUUAGUGCUGAACAGGUUCGGCUUUCACCAAGAAAGGCAAUAAAAUGCUCAUAAAAUGUAAGUUAAUUUGCAAUAAAAUGUAUAAUAUUUUGAAGUGAUAA